UCGCUUUGGCAGCACAUAUACUAAAAUUGGAAGGAUACAGAGAUUAGAUUAGAUUAGCAUGGUGCCUGCACAAAGCUAACACGCAAAUUUGUGAAGUGUUCCACAUUAGC